GGACGGGCGAGAGGGGAGGGCUACUGGCCCAGGACUUGCCAAAGGGGACUUUUACUCGGGGAGAGGGAGAUUGAGACCCACAUUUGGGGUGGGGGUCUGGGAAAGCUUCAGGAAUGACCGAGAUGGGGCGGAGGUGUGAACGAAGAUCCCGGAGGGGUCCCGGGAUUGUGGAUGGGCAGGCGAGAAAGGUGAGGCCUGGGUUCGGGCGAGGUGGGGUUUGAGAGGAUUAGGUGUGAGAAAAGAUCCCGGGAAGGGGUAGAGGCAAUGGACGAGAACCUGGCCUCACAGAAUUGGGAGUGAGAGGCAUGGGUAGCGGGUAGUGGUCCCAGGUCGAGGACGUCAUGUGUUCCGCUGCUCAAAGGAAAUCGAAUUGACCGCUGGGAUAGACGACCUUUGGUGGCAGAGGGACCCGGCUGGCAGUCGGUAGGCCGCGCUUGGCAGGGACAGGUCCCCGGCCAGCCUGGGCAAAGUGGGCCUCGGCACUGGGGAACGAAGGGCUGGCGAGACCGAGAGGCUGAUUCGGGUGCCCACCAGGCCUGGCACCCAUAGGGCCCGUGACCCGCGCUCCGUGCGCAGGCCGCUGUGUCGCGGUGCAGGGAAUGGCGCCCAGGCCAGCUGUGUCUUCGGCCUCCGGGGUCCCAGUGGAGGCGCGGCUCCCCCGGAAGGGGGUUGGGCAAUGUGGCCCCGGGGCAGGCGCAGGUUGACCCCCGCAAGCCGCUGUGGGGAGGCCCCGGCCCCUCCGGGAGCGGAGCACCCGCGCGGAGCGGGGCGGGGGCGGAGGGCAAGGGAGGCGGGUCCCCUGACCCCGCUGGAGGCGAGAGGGCGGAUCGGAUUUGGAGCCUGCGGGAGGCUUGGUCAGAAGUGGCCCCCUGUAUCGCGGGGCCCCGCGGAGGGGCCCGGCUUUGUGGAGGAUUAGAGGCUCCCGCCCCACCCCAAUACCUGCGUGUGUGUCGGUGGGUAUCUGUGUGUGUCUGUGCGUGUCGAUGCUCCAGCCUCUGAGGCUCUUGUGUGUCUGUACGCCCGUGUCUCUGUGCAUAUCCAGUUUUUCUGCGUCCCUGAGACUUUCUGGGCUGAGUGUGUGAAUCUGUGUCUGAUUCCCCUGAAUCCGUGUAUGUGUGGGUGGGUGCAAAUCUGCUGGGCCUUCCAUCCCUCCGUAUCUUCCGUGUUUUUGUAGGUCUUUGUAUGUGUCCCUGUGUCUGUCACUCUAUACGGGUGCCGAGGUUCUUUGUAUGUCUCUCCUCCUGCGUGUAAUGUCUGGGAUCCUUUUCUGUAUCUUCGUGUCACUUUUGUGUGUCUAUAUGUACCUUUGAGUUUCCGGAUGAUUCUGUGUGCUUGGAUGCCUCAGAGUUGUGUGUGUAUGUGUAUGUGUGUUCAUCUCUACGUAUUUCUUGGCGUCUUUGUGUGUCUGUAUCCAGGACGGUGGAGAAGUGGAAGUUUCUCGCACAUGCCCUUGGUCCCCGAUCCUUGCGCCGCCUGGAACCCCAAGCCUCGAGCUCCGAGGUUGGACUUGGGCCCGGGCCCGGGCCACCCUCUCCCGGCAUUUGGGGCAGGGAAGCAGUAGCCGCCGGGAGAAGCCGGGCGGACAAGGCUCGGGCGCGCAGAGCCGGGCGGCACAGAGCCAGGCGCAGGGCCGGUGGACCGACCGGGCGCAUUCUGCCCUCUGCUGGCAACGCUGCGUUCCUGCACCUGCUGUCGGGCGACUGCCUGUAGGCAAGAGGGUCCCGGUUCCAGGCCCAGACCCUCUUCUUGAGAGCGCGCUUAGGAAUCCUCUUCCAUCACAGGCCCACCCCAGAUUCCACAUUCCCAGUACAGCGUUCCCUCCUCCUCCUGUCCCACUCCCCACCUUCCCGUGCCGAGCCUCUUCUCCAUACUCCUUCCGUUUGGCGAAUGGGGGUCUUUUGUGACCCGGGCUCUGAGGCUUCUUUGACCCUCUAGCCGGCGUUCAGAGUCGAGCUGGGACUUCCGUCUGUGCCCAGGGUCGCGUUCCCGGGCCGCCCGAAGGCUGGGUUCCAGACAGGAGGGCAUGCGGCAGGUCUCCCCUCGGAUACCAGGGCUCAUCUCUUCUGGGGUGCGCAGAAUCUUGGCACGUCACUCCGUGCCCCUGCCGGCGUCACAGCCCACACCACCCGGUUCAACAUUCGGAGGGCUGAGGGCGGUGCUCAGAGCUGCUCGAAGCUGCCAAGAAGCGACCAGACCCAGACAGCUGCUCUCCCAGCUGAGUCAGCUGGCGGUCCCGGCUCCUCCGCAAAGGCGCGCAGAGGCCCCCAGAUCUCUUUCAAGCACAAUCGUGGCUCCUGCGCCUCCCCGCCGCUUCCCCUGCUGAAAACGUGGCAAACUGGAGGGCAGUAACCGGGCCUAGGCCCGAAGUGGAGUACUGUUUGUAGCGACGGCCAGCGACUUCUUGCUCCGCGGAAUUGGAGCCCUUGCGAUCCCCGACCCACGACGCCGGCGGCGGCUCACACCUGGGCACUCCGGCCGAUCCGGGUUUCUCUCUGGCUCGGACUAAAGCGCUAGAAACAGCUGCAGAUUUUCUCCACCAAACGAAAGACCGAGUCGGCUGUAAAAAGCAAGAACCGAGGCGGAAGCUCUGCGGCGGGAGUCCUAGCUCCCCCAGUUCUGCGGUCGCCCCAUCUCUGAGCCCUUCCCUGUUCCUCCUUGCUCCUCUCCUUAGGGCUUUGAUCUCCGGGCGCCUGCCUGCUCUACCAGCCGCCAGGAGCACGACUGAUGACCCCCUCUGCCUGCAACAGAGCGCUGUCCAUCCUCCCCGAGCCGUGCUUCUGUCCAGAGCCAGCCACGGGGUCCCCUUCCAGUUUACAGUCCCAGCUGGAAGUGAGAAUCCUGGGCAGGGGUAGAGUACAGGGUGCAGCAUGAAGGCACCGCGGUUCCAUCCAGCCAGGAGGGAGAGUCGGCUGCCAGAGCGCCCAGAUCGUCCUGCGAGGCUCGCCGACCGUUGGUUGGCCUUGGAUAUACUCAGAUCCACGGGGAUGCAGCCAGUCAGGACCAGCGCCAUCCCCAAACCAAGGCCCAGGCAGGGGGAUGCUAUUCCCAGGACUGUAGCCUAAGGUCCUGAGACCUGGAUGCUCAGGAAGUGGAGGCAGCCUGGCACAGGAAGAGGCUGAGUGUCCAAGCCUUUAGAGCCUAGGGUGACCACGCUUUCCUCCUUGAAUCCCUGCUGUACUUGACCACAGGACAAGUGGGUCAAAGCCUCAGGCCUGGUCUCAGCUGAUAGACGGAUUUCGGUGAUAAGUAGUCCCAUCACCUUCUCACAGCCGGGGAUUCCUGUAUGUGCUGGGAGCUCGGAGCCCCUGAGCUCCGGGGAAGUGCACAGAGAGGAAUGAAUGGGGAGGGCCACGCUGGAGUCCUUCCGACUCAGGGCUGGGAGCAGGUUCUCACUCUGCCGUGCAUCUCGGGUUUUCUAGGCUGAGGGGGCAGGGGAGAGGAUUUUAGUCAGAGUCACUGGUGAGGCAUAUUGUGGGGCUGUGAGGCCGUGUGUGUGUCUGUGUGCAGUGUGGGGACCACUCAGCCCUGGCAAAAUCUUUCUGUCCUCCCUGCAGCCCAGCCCCACCCUCAGCCAGCUGGUGGGGUCUCUGGCCACAGACUCGUGACUUCUCCGCACAAGGUCUGGGCCAUUAGUCAUGGGAUUUCUCCCCUGUGGGUCGGGAGAUCAGGCUCCCUCAGAUCCAAAGGCUGCUUUGAGCCCUCAGGGCAGCGCCCUGGCCAGGUGGCCCAGGGCUAGGGUCUUUCACUGGCCAGGCAGUGGUCAGAAGUGGGGUCAAGACGUGGUUCACGAUCUGGGUAUGGGACCUCUGCUCUCUGCCCUCUCUCUGUGCCGCAGCUUCCUCAUCUGUAAACUGGGCAUAAUAGCCUGUGUUCCCACAGGGUUGCCGAGAGAUUGAAAGUAAGUGCUCGCCACAGUGCCUGGCACAUAGGAAGUCUCUGGCAGAGUAUUUGGAUGAAAGGGAGUCCCCAGGACUUGGGGACAUCACAGCUGCCUCCCUCCAACCAGGGCCUGAGGGGAACCAGACACCACGCGCUGAGCUCAGCAAUCUGUCUUUCUUUAGGGCAGGUCCAGGCAGCCGAGGGCUGGGCACUGGGGACCCCUGCCCCCAGGCAGUGGCCAGACGUCCAGCACAGACAGCCUCAGCCUUCGCUACUUGCUCCCGCUGUGGAGCCCAGGCGGGGGAUAUGUGAAAGGCAACAGAAUUAGGGGCUUCAGCCCAAUGCUUUGAAACCGACCACGUGGGACUCUCAAGGUGUGAUUUAUAUUUAUUUUUCAAAAGGCACUAUCCUCAAGAAUCUGCAUUUCUUGCCAAAUGGAUGGGCUGGGCUAUUUCAUCAGCCCAUCUAGAACCAGGAGCUUCCCCGACGGAGGACCUGAGCCAGAACAAAGAAAAGGCCAAGGACCAUAUUUGGAGCCAUAAAAGCCCCAUUAGGACACUAAGAAUAACUCAUAGAAAGACAUUUUAUAUGAAUUGGACACAAAUUCCCCAAAGCAAGAAAGUUCAUUGGUCUCCACCCUGAGGGUCCAUGGCUGGGGAAGGGGGCUGGGUGUGAUGCGGGGGCCAGCGCCCAUCCUAUUUGAUCUUUAUCUUAAAUCCACUUCAAAAGCUGGGGAUCGGUGGAGCUGGAGGUUUGCCUCUUCCUGUAAUUAUUUGGUGUCUAGUAAAGUUUUUAUGAGUGUCUGUGCAAAUAAAUGCAUUUGAUGUGCA